AGCCCUGUGUCUUGUGCCAACUGCUUUUUCUGUUCUUCUGAAGGGUAAGGGUGUGUUAGAUGCUGGAACAGCCAUGCCCUCAUGAUAUUUGUGGCUACUUUGGGAAAGAUGCCACGCUUUUUAUGUCGCUUUUUGUCCUUAUCUGGAUCAUCAUCAUCACCUGUGCUGGGGGAAGCUACACUGUUGUCCAAGCCGUCACCUUGCUCACUGCUGUUGUCCCCACUGUGUGAUGUGUGUCCCCCACUGGAGGGCCCGGGGGUUCCCCCGGAGCGCGUUGAUGCCGUGUCGUCGUGGUCUCUGUUCCAGGAGGGCUGAUCGGUGAGGUUUGCCGACCGCGUUAUGUCCUCGCUGUCCGAUUUUGAUCCGCCCUCUCUAUCGUCUAUGACCAAAUCGAUAGGCAUUUUUCCUUUCAAACA
rnacentral:lncRNA from 1 species